rnacentral:lncRNA from 1 species
UCAGGGAGCACAUUGUUCCUCCUUUAUUGUCCUGUAUCUCAAGAACGUAGGGAUCAGCCAAACACUUGUACCAUGUGCUAGAGUCAUGGUGGCACACAGCUUGUGGGAGUAACCAGCCAAUAACUGAUUUGAUUUAAGGCCCUCUCCACAGGGUGUAAGAGACCAGAUAGCCUUGGGACCUAGGGGAAGAACAAAUAAUAAUGGUCUUUUAAAAAGAACAAAAAAGUGAUAAUGAAUCAGCCAAGCACCUUUUAGCUUUACAUCACAAUAUUUUAAACGAUGUUUCAGUAUACCACUAUAGUAUGGACAAACUGGGUGGAAACACCUGAGGGUUAAAUUUUUCACAGAAGAAUUAGGUGUGACUACACCGAAAACACAGGACAAAUUGUGAGAAUAAGAUAUUAUCAUUUUGCCUGGCCUAGUGAGAGGUGAUAGGAUAAUUCUAAGACAUUUACAUCUAGUACAUUUCUACUGAUGUCAACGAAAUUGAAAGCUGACUCCCAUACAUAGUUAUGUAUGACACUUAAAGUCCAGGCCAGCCUUCAGUUGUAGUGACCGUAAGUUUUAGUUUAAUUUUUUAAUUUUUCCCCAAGGAGGUAAGAUUUGAAAGUGUGGUGUGACUUUCCCACAGGAGACAUAAGCAAACAUCUAUCCCAGAGAGAUCAUCAAGAACAAAGAAAUAAUUUUCCUGAAGUCUAACGGCAAACAUUGUGUUUAUUGGGAUUACCACGGGGGAAAUGGAUGGAGCACUAGUUACAGAGGCAUGGUUGACUCAAGAGUAGCUAUAUCACCAAAAGGCCCACCUCUGAGGAAAGAUGCAACCAGCUCUCUGCAGGCUCCUCUCUCCCCAACAGUGUGCUCGUAUAACCUUGAGAAGGAAGGGGGACUUGUUGAUAUUGUUUCAGGAGCUUUCCUAGAUUGGUGGUCAUUUGGCUCCUGAGUCUAAAGAAGUCUCCUGGACAGAAUGAUCUUGAUAAAGAACACACUAGCACUCAUCAGGGUGCUAGGACAGGGACUUUGGUGUGGUUAGCAGGGUGAAUGACACAGGGUAUCUAAGAAGAGCUUAGUUUGUAUUUAUCCCCAGUGACGUUGAGACUUUCUUGUGCUCAAAGGCUAUUUUACAGUUCAAAAUUUCAAUUUAUAUCUUUUGUAUUCAGACUUAAUGUCUAUAUUAGUAUCCACUUGGCAACUCUUCUGUGUCACAUUUCUACUUGCAGAGUAGGUUUUUGUCUACAGUCUUAGGGUUUUAAGGCUGUGAACAGAUACCAUGACCAUGGCAACUCUUAUAAGGACAACAUUUAAUGGGACCUGGCUUAAAGGUUCAGAGGUUCAUAAAGGUGGGAACAUGGCAGCAUCCAGGAAGGCAUGGUACAGGAGGAGCUGAAAGUUCUACAUCUCAUCUGAAGGCUGCUAGGAGAAGACUGGCUUCCAGGCAGCGAGGAUGAGGGGUCUUAAAGAUCAUGCCCACAGUGACACACCUACUUCAACAAGACCACUUCUUCUAGUAGUGCCACUCCCUGGGCCAAGAAUAUACAAACCAUCACAUCUGCCCUUUCUAUUUCCAGCUGAUCCAUCCUGUCAUAUCAACAUAACUUCUGUAUUAACUGUCAUAGCAGAACUCUUCUGACAUUUUAAAACAUUUGAUUUCUGGAGACUUAAAAUAUGAAAUCUUCUAAGUUUGUUGUAGUGUUUUGUUUUGUUUUGUUUCAAACCUAGUACUAAAGCUUUCUGAGCAGACAUAAACUCUGUAUGGAAAUAUCAUACCAGGAACAUUAAACUAACAAAAAUCACUGUAUAAAAUCAGCAGCAGGCUAUUUGUACAAGGUCCACUGUGUAAAAUCAGUGUCAGGUUAUGUGUACGAGUUGUAUAAGAAAAACAAACAAAUUACUGGCCUAAAGUUGAGUACUGUUCACGAAAUAUUUCAUUGUGUGCAUAAAAUAUGUUUCCUAAAAUAUCUAAAAGGUGAAAAGAAAGGGUCCCACAUGCUAAAUAAGGAAAGAGUGCUCAGUUUGUGUUUUCUGGUAGAGUGCUGUUGUUGUUGUUGUUGUUGUUGUUGUUGUUGUUGUUGUAAUACAUUCUGUAAAGGUAAACACAAAUAUUAAUUUUCCCCAGAUAGAUAACCAGCACCAGCCCACUAAGAUGGAUCUACUGAAUGAAGUACAACUUUGCAAACCAAUGAGUUCACUGACAUUACUUGCAGAAAUAUUGGUGAGAUGUUACUUACAAAAACAUAGAUGACUCAUAAGCAGCUGCUUCAAAAAAAACAAAAAC